rnacentral:rRNA from 1 species
GAUGAACGCUGGCGGCGUGCCUAAUACAUGCAAGUCGAGCGAACAGACGCGGCGCUUGCUCCUCUGACGUUAGCGGCGGACGUGUGAGUAACACGUGGAUAACCUACCUAUAAGACUGGUAUAACUUCGGGAAACCGGCGCUAAUACCGUAUAACAUGUUGAACCGCAUGGUUCAACAGUCAAAUACGGUUUUGCUGUCACUUAUCGAUGGAUCCGCGUCGCAUUUGCUAGUUGGUAAGGUACCGGCUUACCAAGGCAACGAUGCGUAGCCGACCUGAGAGGGUGAGAGGCCACACUGGAAGUGAGACACGGUACAGACUCAUACGGGAGGCAGCAGGAGGGAAUCUGCAGCAAUGGGCGAAAGACUGACGGAGCAACGCCGCGUGAGUGAAGAAGGACGUCGGAUCGUAAAACUCUGUUAUUAGGGAAGAACAAAUGUGUAAGUAACUAGGCACGUCUUGAAGGUAAAUAAUCAGAAAACCACGGCUAAAUAAGUG